GACGAACGCUGGCGGCGUGCUUAACACAUGCCAGUCGAACGGAAAGGCCCCUUCGGGGGUACUCGAGUGGCGAACAGGUGAGUAACACGUGAGUAACCUGCCCUUGACUUCGGGAUAACUUCAGGAAACUGGGGCUAAUACCGGAUAGGAAUCCUUGCUGCAUGGUGGGGGUUGGAAAGCUUCGGCGGUUUUGGAUGGACUCGCGGCUUAUCAGCUUGUUGGUGGGGUAGUGGCUUACCAAGGCUUUGACGGGUAGCCGGCCUGAGAGGGCGACCGGCCACAUUGGGACUGAGAUACGGCCCAGACUCCUACGGGAGGCAGCAGUGGGGAAUAUUGCACAAUGGGCGGAAGCCUGAUGCAGCAACGCCGCGUGCGGGAUGACGGCCUUCGGGUUGGAAACCGCUUUCAGCAGGGGCGAAGCUUGUGGUGACGGUACCUGCAGAAGAAGCACCGGCUAACUACGUG
rnacentral:rRNA from 1 species